AGACUAUCCAAGGUACUGCAGGUGUACGUCAAACUGACAUUUUUUUCAAAGGGGAGCUCCGCGCCCCCUACCCCUCGCCGUUCUUCGUCUUCCUCAGCGGCGGAAGAAGGCGGGGUUGCGCAGGCAGGCGGCUAGUCACCUGCAGCACCCCAGCGGUCCCGCCGAGGUCUCCAGGCUGCUGUCGGUGUCUGAGGCCAGGGUCUGGUCGGUGGACAUGGACGAGAUGUCGUUGAUGGACGAGGACGGAGGGAGGCUCUCGCUGCUGUUCAUUGCUGCACCUGCGCUGAGGGAAGCAACGGCGGCGCCGGGGUUAUAACGAACCAGAGCGCCCAUGCCGGCGCUGAAACCAAUCGUGCUAAAUAGUUGAUAUUGGAUUUGUGCGUGCAUGCAGCAGUCCCGCUUACCAUUCCGUGCCAGCUGAUGACGAACCCAGUCCAGUUCAAAACAUCCCGACAGGAAGCAAUGCGGUGAUCAUGGCUGCGGGAUCCCAGAAAGGGAAGAUGGAAACCGCUGAGAAAAAAAAAUCUAAAUUAAAACUGAUGGGAAAAAAAGCCUAAAUCAAUAAGCAAAAAUUGGCUGAUGCUGAUUCACUCUUCAGCUCACUGACACCUUGCAACCAUUGUGCUGCAAGAUGCUGGCUGUACCAUUGUGCAUCGGGAGGGCAGGGGAGAGGGAAGAAGGGACGGAGGGGGAGGUAGAGGGGAGUAGUUGCCAUGGCAACCGGAGAGGAGCUCACGUGACGUCAA